rnacentral:rRNA from 1 species
AUGAAUGUAAUCAUCAGUUUGCUUCUUAAACUUGUAGAUAGCACUAAUGGCAUGGUGCCAAGGGAGACCAACCAACUAGAAAUAGCCACAGGAGCAUGUUCCUUUUUCAGGAUAUACAAUGUACCGCCUUACCCUUCCAUUGAUAUGCUUCACUUCAAACCCAUUUUCUCCAUUCCAAAGCACCUCAAGAUAUUGUGUCCAAGCAAUAGAUUCCUUGAGCUUUUUAAAGAUACCAGUGCAUAUUUUCCCUGUCAUUUUCUCACCCUUCCCCUUUUGUUCUUGAAUUCUCACAAAUAUUUUUCCCAAUCUUCUCUUGCAUAG